ensembl:lncRNA
GUCUUAAAAACGUUUGGUGACGAUUUCUGUAACCUCUCCAUCACCUGAUCCGUUGUUUAACUAUCUCUAGAGGUAACAUAUUUCUUCUGAUACUUCUAAUUUUUUUCCUAACCAGUUAAGCUUCUUAGGCUUUCUUUCUUUCUUUCUUUCUUUUUUUUUUCCCCCCCACUUUGUGGAUAUUGCAGUAGUGGGAUAGGAUCAUCAUUUUUAUAACUGUUGUUAACCUAUUUUGAAGCCUGUGCUUAUCUUCCUGUAGUCUUCUUACUCCCAUAUUAAGCAAACCCAUUUCCCUUUAGUUUUUGUGACUGCUCAGGUUUUCUUCUGAGCUUCUCCCAGUUUUCUCUGUAUGUGUAUCCAGACCUGAACAUAACAUGCAAGCUUAGUGUCAAUGAGGAACAGAAUAAAUCUUACCAUCUUCUGCAUGUGACAUUCCUGUUACUACAUAUUCAAAUGAAAUUUUUCCUUUUUGCAGCGUCAGAUUAGUAGCUGAUAUCAGUAUGUGAACUGUUAAAACCCCAAUUUCAGUUCUGCUGCUUAAUCACUUAUUCCUAUGUUUUUUGAUCAUUUUGAAUUCUAACCCUGCUUCCCAGAAUGCUUGUGGCCCGUCCCAGAUACUUACAAAAUUUUGCAAGGGUAUUGCUAGUCAUCCAAGUAAUAAAUGAAAAUAUUAAGUAAUCCUGCACUGAAAAUAGUGGGAUUCAGUUGAAAAUGUUCUUUCAGUUUCACAGCAAACUUCUGUUGACUACUCUGAAUACUUCUUUAAAAAUCAAUCCUGCUCACUUUUUCCUUAUUUUCUGUAGACUGGUGUUCCUUCACAGAUGUAAAAUUCUUGAGGGCUUAAAAGCUCUCAUUAAGAGAGAAAGGCUUAAAUUGGUUGAUGAAGAAAAAGCUUAUCGCAGUGGUAAGAAUCCUGCAGCCUGUAUCUCGAUGCAGAUCUGGCCUUUGAAGGCAGAUCCCAGAAUGGUUGCGCUUGAACGGCGUCUCCGGAGAUUGUCUAGUCUAAGCCCCUGCUCAAAGCAGGGUCAACUAGAGCUCAUGUCCAGUCAUCUUGGAUAUCUACACAGCCUUUCUGGACAACCUGUUCCAGGACAACCCUCCCAGGAAAAAUGUUAUUUUGUAUGUUUAAAUAGAAUUUCCCAUUGCCUCGUGGCUGUUCACUGGAUACCCCUGAGAAGGUUGGCUCUGCGUUCUCUACACUGUCCCAUCAGGAAAGUUCCUCUGACCUGCUGUGCAGCGGCUGGGAAAAGGCAAGCAGGUGGCCUUCCUCUCUGCUCCAGCUAUGGCCUUUCUGAAAGAACUUCAGUAAGCAGUAAACGGCAGACACAACAGGAUAGGUUUUGUGCUAGCACUUGGUGUCCUUGGGAGCUUUCCUGUCUUCCGUGGGCUUUUGAAGACAAUUGCAGAUUUAAAAGAAUUCUAUUAGAAUUUGGAAAACUUCACUUUAUUACCUGUCUGCUGAAUUGGAGUGUGUGGAACACCCAGGGGAGAUGUGUUGCUCGCCAUCAAGAUCCACAGACAAGAGUCCAGAACUGCUUUAUGAGGACAUGCAAAGCAGCACAGCCUCGUAUUUUACUGCUCCCAAUUUAG